CCAUGACGAUAUUCGCCCAGUUAUCGUUGUCCCCAUUCGGAUUCGGAUCGGGUUUUGGGUUCGGAGCGGGGGACUCUGUCUCGUUGUGGUCGGUGUCUGCUGCUGCGGCCUUCGGGGGCGCUUGUUGCUGAUCCAUUUUGUUUCAAAAGGUUCUUCGGAGGCGCGUGGCGAGUCUUGAUUGGGAGUGGUUUGAUUUUCAAAUGUUAUGAGGUCUCUGUUCGGAUUGCUACAGUGGAGAGGAUUUAGAGGGGAGAAUGGUCAUGCACUGUACAAAUUGAUGACUUUUUUUAGCACCAAGCGGGAUUGAGAAUUCAAUGGACUAUCUUGGCUGGUGCUCGUCAUUCAUCAAUUUUCUCGUAAAUAUUAUUUUUCAUGAAGUUUAAGUGACCGUAAGGCCUUUUAAAUUUAAAAUGUAUGCAUUCUAAAAACAACAACACUUAUUAUUAUUAUUAUUAUUAUUAAUUAUGGCAAAUAUGUAACUUCUCUAUUUUGGGGGUAAAAAAGCAAUUUGAACAAAAUUCCGUUAGUUUUAUUAACGGUUUGCAGACGGAGGUGGAAAUGUGAAAAAAAAUAUAAGUUUAGGUGGAGCGCAGCUAAAAAAAUUAAAAUUUGUAUAUUUUUUAAAAAGUGAAAAAAAUCUGGUAGACGGUAGAUAUUUUCCCAUAAACAAUUAACCUGUUUUAAGCUUCGGUUUAAUGAUAUUUACAUGUAAGUAACUUUUGGGCAGUGUGAUCUUUCACCAAAGAUUACUGAGAUGGUGCAGGAGUGUGGGCGACGUAAGGAUUGGAUCUAUCGAUUGGGGGCAUGGUAUUUUGGUAAUUAUGAGUAUUGGGAGCGUGCGAUUCGGUCACCAAGUCGGGGCUCCAGUGCACCGAUUUCUUCGACGCGGAUGAUGCUGGCGACGGUUCAGAUGAAUUGGUGGAGCUUUCUAAUUGGAUCUUGAUUUGACUCUGAGGCUGCACUUGAUUCUCGUUCUCAUAAACUUUCUCAGACUCGGAUCCCAUGACGAUAUUCGCCCAGUUAUCGUUGUCCCCAUUCGGAUUCGGAUCGGGUUUUGGGUUCGGAGCGGGGGACUCUGUCUCGUUGUGGUCGGUGUCUGCUGCUGCGGCCUUCGGGGGCGCUUGUUGCUGAUCCAUUUUGUUUCAAAAGGUUCUUCGGAGGCGCGUGGCGAGUCUUGAUUGGGAGUGGUUUGAUUUUCAAAUGUUAUGAGGUCUCUGUUCGGAUUGCUACAGUGGAGAGGAUUUAGAGGGGAGAAUGGUCAUGCACUGUACAAAUUGAUGACUUUUUUUAGCACCAAGCGGGAUUGAGAAUUCAAUGGACUAUCCUGGCUGGUGCUCGUCAUUCAUCAAUUUUCUCGUAAAUAUUAUUUUUCAUGAAGUUUAAGUGACCGUAAGGCCUUUUAAAUUUAAAAUGUAUGCAUUCUAAAAACAACAACACUUAUUAUUAUUAUUAUUAUUAUUAAUUAUGGCAAAUAUGUAACUUCUCUAUUU
rnacentral:lncRNA from 1 species